AACGAACGCUGGCGGCAGGCUUAACACAUGCAAGUCGAACGGUUGUAGCAAUACAGCAGUGGCAGACGGGUGAGUAACACGUGGGAACCUUCCUAGGGGUACGGAACAACUCAGGGAAACUUGAGCUAAUACCGUAUACGUCCGUGAGGAGAAAGUUUUAACGCCCCUAGACGGGCCCGCGUAGGAUCAGGUAGUUGGUGA
rnacentral:rRNA from 1 species